rnacentral:rRNA from 1 species
GUACCAGACUCCUACGGGAGGCAGCAGUGAGGAAUAUUGGUCAAUGGGCGGGAGCCUGAACCAGCCAAGCCGCGUGAAGGAAGAAGGCGCCAGGCGUCGUAAACUUCUUUUGUCGGGGAACAAAGGGCGCCACGCGUGGCGUUGUGAGUGUACCCGAAGAAAAAGCAUCGGCUAACUCCGUGCCAGCAGCCGCGGUAAUACGUAGGUGGCAAGCGUUGUCCGGAUUUACUGGGUGUAAAGGGCGUGCAGCCGGGAGUGCAAGUCAGAUGUGAAAUCCCGCGGCUCAACCGCGGAACUGCAUUUGAAACUGUGCUUCUUGAGUGCUGGAGAGGCAGACGGAAUUCCUAGUGUAGCGGUGAAAUGCGUAGAUAUUAGGAGGAACACCAGUGGCGAAGGCGGUCUGCUGGACAGUAACUGACGGUGAGGCGCGAAGGCGUGGGGAGUAAACAGGAUUAGAUACCCCCGUACC